GCCACUCCAGUCAGCGUGACAAUUUAUAAAAAAGUGAUCUCUGCCUACCACAGGUCACCACAAGCAGAUGACUGAGGCCUCAAACACAAAAUUUCUAGCCAAUUCUGGUCAGUACAUGGUCAAAGAAUUCCAUGCUUGGUUCUCCUUCACCUUUAUUAAUCUAGUUCUUCAGAAAGCAGGAUUUGAGAGGAAAGUAUUCCAAUAAAUAGUCUCCUAGUGAACGAUGAUGCCAGUUCCAGACUACAUUUGCACUAUGGAAUUCCAAGGAUUUACAAAACGAUUUUUUUAAACUGCAACCACUAGAAAGAUGAGAAAAGUACAAUAUCUAUCUGUUUGGCUAUUAAAGCGUUUAAAUAAAGAACGAGUGAAAUGCAUAUAAUUCCCAAGCAGAGACAACCACUUUCAGCAAAAUCUCUUAAACAGCAAUAUCACAGUGAGUGGCCUUUGCUCCCAUUCAGAGUGACUCCCAAUUAAAAAGAUACUACUUUAAUAGCAUUAAAGAUUAUUAUGAAGGAUUAGUCAGCCACGUAAGAGUUAAAAAAGAGAAGAGAAACCAAAGGAAACUGAUGAAUGGUGUUGAAUGUAACAGAGAGAUGAAAGAGAGAAUUACAGUAGAACCUCAGAGUUAUGAACUGACUAGUCAACCACACACCCCAUUUGGAACUUGAAGUACAAAAAUCAGGCAGCAACACACAUGACCCACCCCCCCCACCUCCAAAAAAAGCAAAUACAGCAGGGUAUAUUUUUUUAAAAUCGGAUUUUUUGAUAAAAUGCUUUGAGAAAAAAAGCAAUCUAAAGAUAGUUUUAAUUAAGAUACAUUAUAGCUCAAAGAUAUCUCAUCAUGGAAUAGGGAUUAUAAAUUCUAAUUCUAUAGUAUGAGACAAUAUAUUCAUGUAAUGUUUAAGAAAAUUUUUGUUAAUGAGUUUCAAUAGUUCAUGGAUUAGGGACCCAAUCUUAUGGGGUUCCAGGGGCUUCUGUAUAGAAAGAUUAACCUAAAUAAUCUAUCUACCCAAUGGGACUCAGUGCUAAGUCUAGAAGAUACCAUCAGAGAUUCUUAGUUUUGCAGUUCUCAGACUGUGGAUUUAUGUCUCCAGAGAUAACAUGCUUGUUAACAGCAAAAAAGUUUUUAAAUAAAUAAAAAAAUAAAAAUAAAUAAAGGUGAGAAACAACAGAACUCAACUAUUGUCCCUCUGCAAAUUUGUGUACACAAAGUCAAUCCCUUACCUCUCUCUAAAAGUGCAAAAUUUCAAAAAGUUCAAUGACUAGAUGAUUGCCGGGGGUGGACUAGAUCUGGACAAGGAGAAGAAGUCUGGAGAUAAAUGUGAGAAGCGAGGGACAUAUGCUUGUUUUGUUAAAAUAUUAUGUGUUUGCUGUUGAAGAAAAAAAUCCAGAAUACUUAACAUUGUUGUUUUAGUUAAAUGUCUGUCUGGUGAUGUUCUCCUCCUAAUACGGCGCGUGGCAAGAAAAAUCCUCCAAAUAUUAAUGAUUAACCUAUUGAAUUGGAGAUCUUUAUAAAGUCAUUGGGUGGUGAACGGAUUGCUUCAAUUACCUUUGGUAAAUGAAAUAACCAAUCAUUCAUUUUCUGAUAUAGCUGUAAAACUAAUCUGAAAGGUUUUCAAAAUAAAUCACU